AUUAUUCUCUACAAUCUGGAAAUUUGCUCCUUAAUUGGUCUAUUACCUAUGACCCUAAACUUGUUUUCCAAGCACCUGGAUGCUGACAAAGUUGAAAAAUAUUCCACUCAAAUUUCCCUUAAAAUAAUUAAAAAGUACUGCUCCAAAAAUUCAAAGGCCAAGUUAAAAGCAUAAACAAAACUUCAGUUAAUAAACAGAAUAACAAACUAUUUUUUCAGCACAGGUUGAGUACAACAGGCAAUUGUCAUCUCCAAGACAACCAGAAUCAGAUCUAUGUCAUGCAUGCAUGUAUUCAUUACCACUUUCACCAUCAGAUGCAUCUGCAAGCCUUGCAAUUGCCUCGACAAGUGCCUGUUCAUGCUCUUUCAGCAUCCUUUUUGCCUUCUCAAGUUCAUGGGAAUCAGGAUGACUCAAAGCAAAAACCUUCUCCACCUCCUGAACUAACGUCUCUGUGUUGAAUAACUCAAUGUCAUCAGAAACUUUCUUUGUAAAACCAUUCUGUGUUGGCAGAAAUUCUCUCCUGGAUUCACCCUUUAUGGAUCCCCUCCCUCUUCCACCACUAGGAUAACUGACAUGUCUCAUGGAUUUCUUGAUUCCAUGGCCUGGCCCACCAUGGGCACCAAGAAGAGAAAUUCCUGGAUCCACACCUUCCCAUUGGAUAUCCUCUGGAGAUAUCUCUUUGAGAUUAACCCAUUCCCAUGUCUCGUUAACUGUAUUCAUAUCAUAGACUAGAGCAUGUCGGCCCUCAGCAGGGUUGUAAUCAGUUAUGACAGCCUCGUAAAAGCUGUUGUCCUCUGGCCAUCUUGUCCACACUUUCCUUCCAAUUAAUGGAUCAGAACUUGCUGGUUCAGCAUGUUCAUUUGCAGCAAGGGCUCCAGAAGAACUAUGGCUAACAUAAUGAUGAUUUCCAGCAGGACCUGUAGAAGGGUUCUGCAUAUACUUCAUAAAGGACAAACCAGGCAUUGGUUGACCCUGCUAAAGAAAGUGGAAGAAAGAGUAAACCCAAAUGGAGGUCAAGCUAAAACUUAAUUUUAUACUUCUAUUAAAAAUAAUCAACAUGCUGUACUAGGCUUUCAGUUGCUCUUCAAUUCUCAGCUCCAUGUAAUAGUUGCAUGGACAGAGCUGCAUUUGGGAUGUCUUCUGUUUUUUAUGGGAGCCUGAAACACUGGGACUGUGUACAACAUCAUGAACUGGUUGUGAUGCACUGCUCCUAGCAGUUUGGUGGCCACCUGCCUGUCUCCACUGCCUGAUCCUUCUGAUGAUCUCAUCCCCAUUAACUUUGGUUAGAAGCUCUCUGUGUUGAUCAUCUGAUACUCUGAGCUCUUUCCUAAGUUCUGUUAUUAAACCCUCCUUCUCCCAAGAAAUGGCAUCAGACUGAGCCUUAAAAGCACGCAAUACAGCACUGUAAGCUUCUUGCUCAAGGUGACGAAUUUGAGCCUCCAUGUCAGUAUGCAUUCUAGAAUAUGCAGCAGAACCAACAACAGAUCUUCCGUUUCCUACAACUCUUUCUCCCUUUGGAAUUGUAUUUUGAUGUGGAGGUAAAUCAUCAUCAGUACCUGCAGUGUGCGGACAUCAUGGCAAGUAGCAAUGUAAACAAAAGACAUAUCUCUGCCCUAUCAUGAAUCUGUAACUAUUACCUUCUUUUUUCAUAAAGAAAAUUUUCCUUUACUGAAAAAGAAAUAAAUGAAUAUAUAAAGGAUUUUAUAUAACAAUUACACCAAUAGUACACUUCCAAAAUUGAAUUUUUUGACUUUCAAAUCUGUAAUCAAACUGAUACAGUUGAAUCUAACCUUUCACUUGUUUUGACAACAACAGUUCAAGUUUUCUAACUUCCAAGUCAAUUUGCCCUCAUGCUUACUUUCUCUUCCUACGCAAAACUAGAUUCUUCCAAAUUCUAUGCACAUUAAUUUACUCUGCAACAAUUUGUUUCUCAUUUGUUCUUAUUUCCAUGUUCCCACCCAACUUUUACCAUUAACAACAAAUCCUGGCAACAUAACGAGCUUGCAAAGCUUGAAAGAAGACAAUCCAUUUGGAUAGAGAAGUCAAAACAAUGUACACCUAAAAGGGACUUCAAUUCCUCUUACUCUUUAUUCCUCUUACUCUUUUUCUUGGUCCAACAUUAACAUGUUUAAAACCAAUUGGAUAAAAAAAUUGAAAAAGUGCAGCAGCUUCAUGCCAUAUAAGAUAACAAGAACAACUGAAUUAACACCUUAAAAAAAUAAUAACAAAUUAACACUCAAAUUUUCUAAAACAAGAUAAUUAAGAACUUCAAUCCAAAGCUAACCUUUUUCUUUUCCUCUUUCAUAAACUAGUGUCUAUGUGCAUAAAAAAACAUGAUAGGGAUUCAAAACAUUUCAAAUUGCAGCACUAAGUAGCAUAAUCAAAACAUUAACCAAGUAUAAAAAGUAGCUAGUGAAACAAACCUUGAAGGAAAGAAAAAAGAAGUUAUACGCUAAUUGCAUUUCACAAAUCAAUCUCACUCAAUAUCCAAACUUAAAACUCCAAAUGACAGUUUUAUAUUUGCCCAUUCAAAAACCAGAACCCUAUUAUCUUCCAAGAAAAUUCAUUGAAAACAGAAACUCCCAGUCCAAUCACCAACUCCCCAAAAACGACAAUGCCCAAUUAAAUCCAAUCCAACAAUACCCUAAGCCUCAAGGCCAAUUCCCACUAUCACAACAAUUCAAUAAAACAGAUAUCUUUUAUGGCGUCCACAAUGUAAAAAUGAACAAAGAGAUGAAAGAGGGAAAAAAUACAAGAAAACAAUAAAAUAUACCACUACUAUCUGAAAGUUCAUAGCCCAUAACAAGGACCACCAGAAGGCUGCACUGUUUCUAAAGCAUUGCAAUUGGCAAUAAUGGAGCUACAGAGAUACAGCGGAGAUAUGGAGAUAGGGAAAGAGAGAAGA
rnacentral:misc_RNA from 1 species